rnacentral:lncRNA from 1 species
CAUUAUGGUGAAAGGGUGGCAACUAAACAUAAGCUGAACACAGCCAUUUCUGAUGGUGAUGACUCAUGAUCCCUCACAGCUGCCCUGGACAUAGUGAUUUAAAGAAGUCUGACCUGGCUUCAUCAGGCUCCACUUCAAAGGUGCUAGAACUAGCUGCAAAAUUGGAAAUUGAGAGACUUCAGAUGAUCAGGUAUCUUCUCCAUAAA